rnacentral:lncRNA from 1 species
AUGAGACCAGACCCCAUGCCCUCCACCCCUGCCUCAGCCAUAUCUCGACGACCUGGCUUCUCACCUGGUUGCUAGUUUGAUUGGAGCAUUUGAAUCUCUGGGAAGAAUGAUUCUGUUAAAGCACCCAACGUCCUUCAACCAUAGCUCUCUGCUCCUCUUUCAGCUGCUUGUCCUAUUGCAUUUGAAGGGUUUUGGGAAACAUCGUCUGUUAAAUUGGCUUGAAAGAGCUUGAAGGCUGCGCAGGUGACUUUGGUGACAAAAAAUUUCAUUUAUUUUUCAGUAAAUAUUUGUUGGUGUGAAUUCUACGAGGGGCUUGAAGUUGGCCAGGAGAGCUCUGGGGUCAGCCAGACAGGUCUCUCCUCUCUUACAGGGUUUCUUGUAGGGAAAUCACACUUGCAGAUGGAGUCCCAUCUCAGGCUGGUGAGUCUUGUCACAGAGGGGGUGAGUGAGUGCUCUGAGCGUAGAGAAUAGGGUUGGGAGAGGAGGAGGCCAUCAGGGAUACCCGUAGGUGUAGCCGGGAAGUCGGCUUCUCUGAGAUUGGAAGCCACACUGGGGGUUCUGAACAAAGAAGGGGCAGGAGUUUUGACAGGGUCCAACCUGGUAGCCAGCAGUUGGGGGCAGUGAGCCAGUCAGAGGCAAGGGCUACCAUCCAGGUGGGAGAAGACAGGGCUCCUGUAGGGUGUGGGGAGAUGGUCAGAUUCUGGAAAUGCCUGGAAGUGCAUUGCUGGAGGCUCGCCUGGCAUGGCCCCUCUGACCCUGUAUUCUGUCUUUCGCUCUGGGCUCUGUUUGCCCUCCUUGCUGGGGGCUCUUUCUUUGUGUCCAUCUUCCUUAGGAGUGAGAUGGACUAUGGGAUGUCAGUAUGUCCCCUCCUUGUGGCAGAGCUGUGUCUGGGUACCUGGGGACGGGGAGCAGGCUUGUGGUUGUGCCCAGUGGGCUGGCUGUGGUGUUGCCAGUGGAGUGUGUGGGAGGGGAGGAGGCCCUGCCGUGGUCAGAUGUGAACACUGAACUCUGGGUGACCAGGACCCCAGAAGCUGAAUGCUAGGGGAAGGGUCCUCCCCACGGGGGCAGUGUCAUGGAGUGUUUAGGAAGAAUGAUUCAUCAGUUUAAGACAAGGACUUCUCCCUGUGUGUUUCUGAACUUCUGGGGGAGGUGGGAAGAACGUUUGGCCGAUUUCUAGAGGGGAAAGCAGACCUCCCUGUUUUUGUUCAAAAGAGGUGUCUCGAAGGGAGCAACUUGACAUAAGCCUCAUCCUAAUUGCCAGAAUGUUUGAUGUGAGCCUCAGAACUGCAGCCCACAUUUGU